rnacentral:rRNA from 1 species
GAGUUUGAUCCUGGCUCAGAACGAACGCUGGCGGCGUGCCUAACACAUGCAAGUCGAACGUGAUCCAGAGCUUGCUCUGGUGAAAGUGGCGCACGGGUGAGUAACGCGUGGAUAACCUACCCUGGUAUCCGGGAUAACAUUCCGAAAGGGGUGCUAAUACCGGAUAAGCCCACGGGCUCUUUGGAGCUUGCGGGAAAAGGUGGCCUCUAUUUAUAAGCUACUGUAUCAGGAUGGGUCCGCGUACCAUUAGCUAGUUGGCGGUGUAACGGACCACCAAGGCGACGAUGGUUAGCUGGUCUGAGAGGAUGAUCAGCCACACUGGAACUGAGACACGGUCCAGACUCCUACGGGAGGCAGCAGUGGGGAAUUUUGCGCAAUGGGGGAAACCCUGACGCAGCAACGCCGCGUGAGUGAUGAAGGCCUUUGGGUCGUAAAGCUCUGUCAGAGGGGAAGAAAUGAUAUAGUGCUAAUACCACUUUAUCUUGACGGUACCCUCGAAGGAAGCACCGGCUAACUCCGUGCCAGCAGCCGCGGUAAUAC